CGGCGCACAUAAGACAUGCAAGUCGAACGGACUUAACUUCUAGCUUGCUAGAAGAGCGGUUAGUGGCGGACUGGUGAGUAACACGUAAGAAAUCUGCCUAUCAGAGGGGAAUAACAGUGAGAAAUCACUGCUAAUACCGCAUAUGCCAUAAUCAUCGCAUGAUGAUAGUGGGAAAGAAGCAAUUCGCUGAUAGAUGAGCUUGCGGCUGAUUAGCUAGUUGGUGGGGCAAUGGCCUACCAAGGCGACGAUCAGUAGCCGGACUGAGAGGUUGAACGGCCACAUUGGGACUGAGAUACGGCCCAGACUCCUACGGGAGGCAGCAGUCGGGAAUAUUGCGCAAUGGAGGCAACUCUGACGCAGUGACGCCGCGUAUAGGAAGAAGGUUUUCGGAUUGUAAACUAUUGUCCACAGGGAAGAUCAAAGACUGUACCUGUGAAGAAAGCUCCGGCUAACUACGUGCCAGCCGCCGC
rnacentral:rRNA from 1 species